rnacentral:lncRNA from 1 species
CCCCCCCCAUUUCCUGCAGAGCUCUCGCACACGCGGGGGCCGCUGGACGGCAGCCCCUACGCCCGCGUGCAGAGGAAGGGGGCCCCCAGCCCUUGGGCCCCCCCCGGGGGGUACGGCAGCGAGAGUCCCCCCCCCCCGGGCGAGCCCUACGAAGCCGAGCCCCCCCCCGGCCGCCCCCCGCCCCCCACGGCCGCCGAGCGCCAGGAGCUGGAGCGGCUGCUGGGGGGCUUCGGGGUCGGGGGGCGCGACAGCCCCCAGGAGCAGCCCCCCGGGGGGGCGCCCCACAGGGACCCGGGGCCCUAUAGGGACCCAGCGCCCUAUAGGGACACAGCACCCUAUAGCACCCCGACACCCCAUGGCACCCCAGGGCCCUAUGGCCCUGCACCCCCCCGCAGCCCCCCGUCCCCCUGCUCCCCCCAGGCACCCUGCAGCGUGCUGUCCCCCUACAGCCCCCCAACAACCCACAGCUCCUACAGCGCCCCAGGAACCCCCUACGGCACCCCCACGACCUACAGCCCCCCCGCAUCCCAUAGCCCCCCUGCCUCCUAUAGCCCCCCCGCAUCCUAUAGCAUCCCCGCAUCCCAUAGCCCCCCCGCAGCCUAUAGCCCCCCCACAACCUACAGCCCCCCUGCAUCCUAUAGCACCCCGACAACCUACAGCCCCCCCGCAUCCCAUAGCCCCCCUGCCUCCUACGGCCCCCCCGCAGCCUAUAGCACCCCCGCAUCCCACAGCCCCCCCACAACCUACAGCCCCCCCGCCUCCUACAGCCCCUCACCCCCCUAUAGCGCCCCGACCCCCCCGGCCCCCUAUUGCACCUCAACGCCCUACAGCCCCCCGCCCCCCUGCGCCCCGCACCCCCCCCACGGCACCCUCGCCCCCUACAGCCCCCCAGCGCCCUAUAGCGCCCUGGCGCCCUAUAGCGCCCCGACCCCCUACAGCCCCCCGACCCCCUACAGCCCCCCGGCCCACUAUGCCCCCCCGGCCCCCUAUGCCCCCCCGGCCCCCUAUGCCCCCCCAAUGCCCUAUACCGCCCCCCCCCUUUGCCGCCGCUCCAGCCUGGCCCCCCCCUGCCCGUGCCGCCUGGGCAGCCUGGAGCGGCGGGGGGGGCCGGGGGGGUACGAGGUGCCUCGGGGGGGCGACGGGGGGGCGGAGAAGCGGCGGGCGCAGCGCUCCCUGUCCGAGGGGGGGGCCCCGGCGCCCCCCCCGCCCCCCUGCCCCGGCUGCCCCCGCUGCGGCCGCGCCCCGCCCCCCCCGGCCCCGCUGCCCCCCCGGCCCGGCCCCCCCGGGCUGGAGGCUCCGGAGGGUUUCGGGGUCCCCGGGGAGGAGCCCCCCCCGCCCGGAGAGCGCCGCAGCCCAGCCGAGGGGGGGCCCUGGCACAGCCCCUCCCGCGACGCCGCCCCCCCCGGGGCCCCCCCGGCGCCCGCCCCUCCCCAGGAGCAGCCGGAGCCCCCCCCCAGCAGCCCGGGGGGGUCCCCGACCCCCGCCUUCCCCCUGAGCACCGCUUACUACGAGCCCCCCCCGGCCCAGCAGCCCCCCCUGCCCGAGAAGCGCCCCCCCCAGCGGGGCGCGGGGGGCACCCAUGGGAGCCCCCCCCCGGAGCCGGACCCCCCCGCGGGCGCCACCUUCGCUCAGGACACCUCCAAGUUCUGGUACAAGCCGGGGCUGUCGCGGGAGCAAGGUGAGGGGGGGGGGGGG